UCCGUAGGUGAACCUGCGGAAGGAUCAUUACUGAGUACCGGGUCUCUCAGGCCCUUACUCCCACCCUUUUGUGUACCUUACCAUUACUUCAGUUGCCUUGGUAGGCUUCCUCUCUUCGGGGGGAACCUGCCAGGGGGACUCACCUAAAACUCUUAUGAAUUGAGUCGUCUGAGAACAACUUCAAAUAAGUUAAAACUUUCAACAACGGAUCUCUUGGUUCUGGCAUCGAUGAAGAACGCAGCGAAAUGCGAUAAGUAAUGUGAAUUGCAGAAUUCAGUGAAUCAUCGAAUCUUUGAACGCACAUUGCGCCCCUUGGUAUUCCGAGGGGCAUGCCUGUUCGAGCGUCAUUUCAAACCCUCAAGCUUCGGCUUGGUAUUGGGCUCUCGUCCGUUCUCUUCCGGGAGAAGGACGUGCCUGAAACUCAUAGGCGGUUGUGUUCAGCUCCCUAGCGUAGUCAUAAUAACAUCGCUAUCGGAAGUCUUCUGGACGCGACCCGCCCGAGAAACCUCAAUUUUUUUCUCAGGUUUGACCUCGGAUCAGGUAGGGAUACCCGCUGAACUUAAGCAUAUCAAUAAGCGGAGGA
rnacentral:rRNA from 1 species